UACGGCCAUAUUAUGUUGAGACACCGGUUCCCGUGCAAUCACCGAAGUUAAGCAACAUCGAGCCUGGUCAGUGCCUCGAUUGGUGACUGCUUGGGAGUACCAGUUGCUGUAA